GUAACUGUUCCUAAAGGAACGCGUUCAGAUUUGAGGGGAGGGAGUAAAAGCAAGUACACCUGUGAUCAUGGAGCCAAGUCGCGUUUUCGUUCUUUUGAUGGUUUGGUUCGUCUUUAGCACCAUUCUGCUGGAUCGAACUGAAUCCUUUCAUAUCAGAAGGAGGAGGUGGCGACGUAGACACGGCAGAAAAAGCGUCAUGCCUUCAUCUUCCGCUGCAGAAGGCCAAACAACAGCGCCUUUGGAAUGGGAUGGAAAUGAGGUUACUGAAAGUACCCCUCCGGGAUUCAAUCGCAGAGGAUAAUGUCUUACCAUGAGGAAGUGGAUCUCCUACCAGCGCAAGACGAAUUGGCAUUAUAUAGCUAAUGUACCUUUUACCAUCAAAAUAAAACAAUUUGUAUUGUAAAAAAAGCAUAUCUGUAAACUCAGAGUAAGGAAGGAAUAAAAAGGCCAAUUGAAAUUGAUCGAAA